rnacentral:rRNA from 1 species
UGAGGAAUAUUGGUCAAUGGGCGAGAGCCUGAACCAGCCAAGUCGCGUGAAGGAAGACAGUCCUAAGGAUUGUAAACUUCUUUUAUACGGGAAUAACGGGCGAUACGAGUAUUGCAUUGAAUGUACCGUAAGAAUAAGCAUCGGCUAACUCCGUGCCAGCAGCCGCGGUAAUACGGAGGAUGCGAGCGUUAUCCGGAUUUAUUGGGUUUAAAGGGUGCGUAGGUUGUUCGGUAAGUCAGCGGUGAAACCUGAGCGCUCAACGUUCAGCCUGCCGUUGAAACUGCCGGGCUUGAGUUCAGUGGCGGCAGGCGGAAUUCGUGGUGUAGCGGUGAAAUGCAUAGAUAUCACGAGGAACUCCGAUUGCGAAGGCGGCUUGCCAUACUGCGACUGACACUGAAGCACGAAGGCGUGGGUAUCAAACAGGAUUAGAUACCCUGGUAGUCCACGCAGUAAACGAUGAUUACUAGGAGUUUGCGAUAUACCGUCAAGCUUCCACAGCGAAAGCGUUAAGUAAUCCACCUGGGGAGUACGCCGGCAACGGUG